UUGAACGCUGGCGGCAUGCCUUACACAUGCAAGUCGCACGGCAGCACGGGUGCUUGCACCUGGUGGCGAGUGGCGAACGGGUGAGUAAUACAUCGGAACAUGUCCUGUAGGGGGGGAUAGCCCGGCGAAAGCCGGAUUAAUACCGCAUACGAUCUACGGAUGAAAGCGGGGGACCUUCGGGCCUCGCGCUAUAGGGUUGGCCGAUGGCUGAUUAGCUAGUUGGUGGGGUAAAGGCCUACCAAGGCGACGAUCAGUAGCUGGUCUGAGAGGACGACCAGCCACACUGGGACUGAGACACGGCCCAGACUCCUACGGGAGGCAGCAGUGGGGAAUUUUGGACAAUGGGCGAAAGCCUGAUCCAGCAAUGCCGCGUGUGUGAAGAAGGCCUUCGGGUUGUAAAGCACUUUUGUCCGGAAAGAAAUCCUUGGCCCUAAUACGGUCGGGGGAUGACGGUACCGGAAGAAUAAGCACCGGCUAACUACGUG
rnacentral:rRNA from 1 species